GACGAGGGAUCCUAGCGUUGUUCGGAAUUAUUGGGCGUAAAGGGGGUGUAGGUGGCUUUGAAAGUCAGAUGUGAAAUCCCAGGGCUUAACCCUGGACGUGCAUUUGAUACUGCAAAGCUUGAGUGCGAGAGAGGUAGGUGGAAUUCCAGGUGUAGUGGUGAAAUACGUAGAUAUCUGGAGGAACAUCGGAGGCGAAGGCGGCCUACUGGCUCGACACUGACACUGAAACCCGAAAGCGUGGGGAUCAAACAGG
rnacentral:rRNA from 1 species